GGAUCCAGACUUUGAUCAUGGCUCAGGACGAACGCUGGCGGCGCGCCUAACACAUGCAAGUCGAGCGGGAAGCUUUUUAAGGAUUCUUCGGAUGAAUUAAAAAGUGGAGAGCGGCGGACGGGUGAGUAACGCGUGAGAAACCUGCCCUAUACAGGGGGAUAGCCAUUGGAAACGAUGAUUAAUACCCCAUAUGACCACAGUAUCGCAUGAUACAGCGGUGAAAACUCCGGUGGUAUAGGAUGGUCUCGCGUCUGAUUAGCUAGUUGGUGGGGUAACGGCCUACCAAGGCGACGAUCAGUAGCCGGCCUGAGAGGGUGACCGGCCACACUGGAACUGAGACACGGUCCAGACUCCUACGGGAGGCAGCAGUGGGGAAUAUUGCACAAUGGGCGAAAGCCUGAUGCAGCGACGCCGCGUGAACGAUGAAGGCUUUCGAGUCGUAAAGUUCUGUUCUUGGGGAAGAUAACGACGGUACCCAAGGAGAAAGCACCGGCUAAAUACGUGCCAGCAGCCGCGGAAU
rnacentral:rRNA from 1 species